rnacentral:lncRNA from 1 species
GGUGAAAAUUCACGUUUCAGUUCAUCCCCUGCACCACAGUGGGCCUGCGCACAAAUCCGCAUGAGCCUUCCCGUGUUACAUAAUAAAAGGGCGGCAUUGGUGGCAUCCUCAAUUGAUUCAAAGUUGUGAAUUCCCUUUUCAAAACAAGAAAAGCUUUUUUUCCACAACUGUUGCUCGGCAGCAGACACAGAUUUGCUCACUUUACAGAGAAAGAAAGAAAACAACUGUGUAAGCAGACAUCAGUGUAAACCUUAGCACUGUCUCUUGAUGAGAUAAGAGGAGGAUGGCAGUGACAGGAGUGUGGUGGCGAGCCAGUCACCUGCAGUCAACCACGGCUCAUUGCUCUCACCAUGCCUGUUACAUGAAGGUAUGUAUGUAUAGGAAAAAGCACUGAAAAACUCUCCAGUUUCAGGCAUCCACUGGGGAUCUUGGAACGCAUCCUCCAAGGAUAAGUGGGGUCUACUGUACAACACUUAAGUAUAACCCUCUUCACUAUUAACCAAAUGAUAUUAAAAUAAGCA